ACCUGAAAUAGAAAUCGGCGGAACUUCUGCUUCCGUUUUUUGUUUGCUCGCCACUCGACGCGCUGUUGAAACACUCGUCACUCCAUUCUUCCCAACAAUAGGACCACGGAAGUACCGACUGGCAGCUAGCCACCAUGUAGUAGAGCGUCAGAGCCAUAAGGGCGCAAUAAUAGGUCUGAGAUCUUGGUCCUCAUAGGAAAUACCUUGGAAUGCAGGCGACACCGACCAGAUCUGCACGCAAGAUCUGCUGGUGAACUGCCCGAGGAUCAUCUCCAUGUAGUAGAAGGGUUUGCCGAUUACGAAGAGCACUAUUAUGUAGGGAAUUAGAAAGGCGCCGCCGCCGUUCUCGUAAGCCGUGUACGGAAAUCGCCAGACGUUCCCAAGACCAACCGAGAACGCCACGCAUGACAGGAGGAACUCCACUCCGUUUCCCCAUUGGGCCCUCACAUUCUUCUCCUCCUCCACCUUGACUGACAACGAGAUCUGUGAAGUAAAUUGCAAGGAGUUUUGAAAACUCUCAAAAAGGAAAUCCUAAUUAGUGUUAAACUUACUCUGCCUUCGAACUCAUUUCCGCCAGCUGACAAUGGAACAGACAGCUUGAAUAUACCGGGAGUUCCGCCAGUGUCGGUAACAUGAUU